UCAGCUCGUGUCGUGAGAUGUUGGUUAGUCCGCAACGAGCGCAACCCUUGUCAUUAGUUGCUACAUUCAGUUGGGCACUCUAAUGAGACUGCCGGUGACAAACCGGAGGAAGGUGGGGAUGACGUCAAGUCCUCAUGGCCCUUAUAGUGGGGCUACACACGUCAUACAAUGGAUGGUACAAAGGGCCGCCAACCCGCAGGGGGAGCCAAUCCCAUAAAGCCAUUCGUAGUCCGGAUCGCAGUCUGCAACUCGACUGCGUGAAGUCGGAAUCGCUAGUAAUCGUGGAUCAGAAUGUCACGGUGAAUACGUUCCCGGGUCUU
rnacentral:rRNA from 1 species